GUCGGCAUAGUAUAGUGGUGAGUACAGCUCGUUGUGGAAUCGCAAGUCCGAGCAGACCCAUGUUCGAUUCAUGGUGCCGACA